AUGAGUAUGACAGGAACCAUGGGCAGGAGGAGGAGCAAUAAAAGUGGGCAAGAGGAAGGAUAUUAGUCCCUUCGUCUAAGAAGAGGAACAAAUGCACACAUUUCAAGGGAUUGAGAAGCAGUGCAGCUCUCAGCAUUGCCUCACCCCACAGAAGUGAAAAGAGCCACUUUAGAACGACAUUCUUUGUGGGAAGAAGUAAACAGAACGUCCACUCAAUCCUCAACUCUAAACUCUGUAGACU
rnacentral:lncRNA from 1 species